UCACGUGGCCGCUAACCAUCCCCGUACGCCGCGAUUAAUUAAACCCCGAUCAACUCCAAAUCUCUCGCCUAGCCGUUGUUCGCGCCCCCUCUCGCCAUCGCCGAAAGCCAACUCUCCUCUCCACUGCGUCCCAAGGAUUUUUCUAUCUUCCACUUGCGAGGGUUCUAGACCGAUCCCGAUCCUUCCAGACACUUCGAAGCCUAGCCUUUAAAUACCCGGCCAGCGUCACCCGCCACACCAUCACAGCUCGGACGCAGGCCGCCAUUGGCUCCGGGUGGUUGCCUGGAGCUCCCGGAGGAUUCGAGGCCCAGAAUUGCACGCGGCGGCACCAAGCAUGAGGUAGUAACUGCAUUACUUGCCGGGAAGUCGCAAGUAAGACACCGAAGCAGACAUCGCUUGAGGGAAAGGCGCAAAAUCAAUAGAAGAUUAUCAUACUUGUGACUUUCUUGCAAGUUGUGCAGUUGCUGCCUCAAGCUUGCUGCCUCCCUUUGCCAGAGCUAUCAGCAAAACAGAAAGAUCUGUCAGUUUCCUUGAACUAUAAAUUUUAUAUCACAAACUUAACCUGCAAAUUAACAGCAUAAUGUGUUGAUGAUAGUCUAUAAAUACCCAAUAACUCCAGAUGUGUUUGUCAUGGUAUUAGGCCAGUUUGAUCUACUUGAAGUACAUACAGGUAUAGCCUUCUUUGAUUCGAGUUAUGAACCAGAGAUUGACCCUGAUCACCUUGUUAGUACAGAUUCAGCUUUAAAUUACAUUAUCCAUUUAUACAAUGGGUUUCACAUUCCCAUAAUUUGCUGAAAACAAUAUUGGUACUGUAAUAAUAGUCGUAGAAAAAUUCUACCCAGAUGAGUGCUUUUGCCAACAACUACGGAACAGGGCAUCAUGUGACCACACACUUGCCAGCCCGCACUCUGCAUCUUGUCGUCUCCUGCAUCCAUUUAAAUUAAUCCUAACUACUUCAGGGGAGCCCUAUUAUACGUACAUGUGGUCCAGCUAAAGAGUGCAUGAUUUCUCUGAAACAAAGAUAAUCUGAUUUCUAUCUUGAGUCAUAUCCCAUUGCUAUGUUAUAGCGAAAAUCAGGUCCUAAAUAGGUCCAGGUAGAAAAGUAAUUCCAUCAGUAAGUUGGUCAUGAUGGGCGAAUUGCAUGCACCUGAAGGUACAUUGAGAUGCUUAGUUUUUUUUUUCUUUUUGGUGGUUAUUGUGAUGUGUUAUUGUAUUUUGGGUAUCUUCUGGCUGUACUGUUCAUACAAUAGAUCAGCUGUGUCGGACAUUGGCUCAUGUUUUGGUGUAAUUUCAUCUUUGAAGUGUAAUGUCGCAAAAUAGGAUAAUGAAACCGGUGCAUUCAUGAUUCUGCCGUUUCCUCGACAUAUACCAAAUAGCAAAAUAGUCACUAAACAUAUACCAAAUAGCUAAAUAGUCACUAAACAUAUACCAAAUAGCAAAAUAGUCACUAAACAAAAUUUCAUGCUUUUGCUGUUGGAUGGUUGUUUCAAAUAUUGUUAUCACUAUUCAUCAUCGUUUCUUGAUAGUUGCCAAUCUUUAUACCAGAUCCGAUUAUUUUUUCGAAGGAUCCUGGGUGUCACUCUACCACUUUACAAUAUCUUUGCCCAUACAGUGUAAUUUGAGUUACAAGCAUUCUAGUGUGUGAUGUAAAGGAACAUCUGACAGCUAUUCUGAACUUCUAAGCUGCCACAACAGGGGUUGCUAGAGAGUAGCGAGAUACACUUCAACAAUUGUAGUUCUUCAACAAGGGGUGCUGCGUCAAACACAAUGUCCAGAUUUUGACCCCUUAUCCCAAGCAUGACGGUGUGUCAUUGGCUGUUCUGAUAUGCAGAGGGGCCGAAGUGUGGCUUCAUGAGGACGUGUGCAAAUGGACUGGAGGUUUACAAGUUGAUGACAGUUACAUAUAUGGCAUAUGAUCAAGUACCAGCUCUCAAAGGAUAUGCCCUCAAUCUUAGUCAAAAGCCCAUAUGAUCAUGCUCUAUGGGCUUCUUGUAAUAACAGUUUGGUUGUAGUCUUUGUACAAGAGAUCACCAGCAGAAUUCCUGAGAAAUCAUAUGAUGGACCAGCAAGUGAGCAACAAAGUGACCUCUGUUGCUUUGUCAGAGAGUAUACAACUAUUGUGUUCUCUUUUCUUGGUUUGAUGUAUGCUCUUAAAACCUUGUGAACUCGUAUGCUGGCUAACUGGUAGUGCUGAUGUAUAUUACUUCCUCCGUCCACGGCACAUCUUUUUA